ensembl:snoRNA
UGCUGUGGAGGUGAUGAGUUUCAUGUCUCUUCUCUGACUAAAAUGUUAAAAUGAAGAGAACUUGAACAACUCUGAUCACAGUA